GAUGAACGCUGGCGGCGUGCCUAAUACAUGCAAGUCGAGCGAACGGACGAGAAGCUUGCUUCUCUGGUGUUAGCGGCGGACGGGUGAGUAACACGUGGAUAACCUACCUAUAAGACUGGGAUAACUUCGGGAAACCGGAGCUAAUACCGGAUAAUAUUUUGAACCGCAUGGUUCAAAAGUGAAAGACGGCCUUGCUGUCACUUAUAGAUGGAUCCGCGCUGCAUUAGCUAGUUGGUAAGGUAACGGCUUACCAAGGCAACGAUGCAUAGCCGACCUGAGAGGGUGAUCGGCCACACUGGAACUGAGACACGGUCCAGACUCCUACGGGAGGCAGCAGUAGGGAAUCUUCCGCAAUGGGCGAAAGCCUGACGGAGCAACGCCGCGUGAGUGAUGAAGGUCUUCGGAUCGUAAAACUCUGUUAUUAGGGAAGAACAUAUGUGUAAGUAACUGUGCACAUCUUGACGGUACCUAAUCAGAAAGCCACGGCUAACUACGUG
rnacentral:rRNA from 1 species